CGCAGGUCAGGGGGGGCUAUCCGCUGAGUUUAAUCAUAUCAAUAAGCGGAGGAAG
rnacentral:rRNA from 1 species